rnacentral:rRNA from 1 species
AGUGAACGCUGGCGGUAGGCCUAACACAUGCAAGUCGAACGGCAGCACAGUAAGAGCUUGCUCUUACGGGUGGCGAGUUGCUGACGGGUGAGGAAUACAUCGGAAUCUACUUUUUCGUGGGGGAUAACGUAGGGAAACUUACGCUAAUACCGCAUACGUCCUACGGGUGAAAGCAGGGGAUCUUCGGACCUUGCGCGAUUGAAUGAGCCGAUGUCGGAUUAGCUAGUUGGCGGGGUAAAGGCCCACCAAGGCGACGAUCCGUAGCUGGUCUGAGAGGAUGAUCAGCCACACUGGAACUGAGACACGGUCCAGACUCCUACGGGAGGCAGCAGUGGGGAAUAUUGGACAAUGGGCGCAAGCCUGAUCCAGCCAUACCGCGUGGGUGAAGAAGGCCUUCGGGUUGUAAAGCCCUUUUGUUGGGAAAGAAAAGCAGCAGGUUAAUACCCCGCUGUUCUGACGGUACCCAAAGAAUAAGCACCGGCUAACUUCGUG